rnacentral:rRNA from 1 species
GACGAACGCUGGCGGCGUGCUUAACACAUGCAAGUCGAACGGAAAGGCCCUGCUUUUGUGGGGUGCUCGAGUGGCGAACGGGUGAGUAACACGUGAGUAACCUGUCCUUGACUUUGGGAUAACUUCAGGAAACUGGGGCUAAUACCGGAUAGGAGCUCCUGCUGCAUGGUGGGGGUUGGACAGUUUCGGCGGUUGGGGAUGGACUCGCGGCUUAUCAGCUUGUUGGUGGGGUAGUGGCUUACCAAGGCUUUGACGGGUAGCCGGCCUGAGAGGGUGACCGGCCACAUUGGGACUGAGAUACGGCCCAGACUCCUACGUGAGGCAGCAGUGGGGAAUAUUGCACAAUGGGCGGAAGCCUGAUGCAGCAACGCCGCGUGCGGGAUGACGGCCUUCGUGUUGUAAACCGCUUUCGCCUGUGACGAAGCGUGAGUGACGGUAAUGGGUAAAGAAGCACCGGCUAACUACGUG